rnacentral:rRNA from 1 species
AUCUCGGGAAACUGAGGGUAAUACCCCAUAGGUCUGAUAUGCUGGAAUGCUUUCAGGCCGAAAACUCCGGUGCCUUAGGAUUGGUCUGCGGUCUAUCAGGCUGUAGUGGGUGUAAUGGACCCACUAGCCCGUGACGGAUAUGGGCCUUGAGAGAGGGAGCCCAGAGAUGAACUCUGAGACAUGAGUCCAGGCCCUACGGGGCGCAGCAGUCGCGAAAACUUCGCAAUGGGGGCAAUCCCGACGAGGGAAUUCCAAGUGCCAGCACUUUGUGUUGGCUGUUCUCCUGUCUAAAAAACAGGAGGAGUAAGGGGCGGGUAAGACGGGUGCCAGCCGCCGCGGUAAUACCCGCGCCCCUAGUGGUGGUCGAUAUUAUUGAGCCUAAAACGUCCGUAGCCGGUCUUCUAAAUCCUUGGGUAAAUCGGACAGCUUAACUGUCCGAAUUCCGGGGAGACUGGGAGACUUGGGACCGGGAGAGGUCAGAGGUACUUCUGGGGUAGGGGUAAAAUCCUGUAAUCCUGGAAGGACCACCGGUGGCGAAGGCGUCUGACUAGAACGGAUCCGACGGUGAGGGACGAAGCCCUGGGGCGCAAACGGGAUUAGAUACCCCGGUAGUCCAGGGUGUAAACGCUGCGGGCUUGGUGUUGGGGGUCCUUAGUGGGCGCCCAGUGCCGGAGAGAAGUUGUUAAGCCUGCUGCUUGGGGAGUAUGUCCGCAAGGAUGAAACUUAAAGGAAU